rnacentral:rRNA from 1 species
GAUGAACGCUAGCUACAGGCUUAACACAUGCAAGUCGAGGGGCAGCAUGACGAUAGCUUGCUAUUGUCGAUGGCGACCGGCGCACGGGUGAGUAACGCGUAUCCAACCUGGCCCUUACUCGGGUAUAGCCCUGCGAAAGUAGGAUUAAUCCCCGAUGUUGUCAAGCGAUAGCCUUUUCACUUGACCAAAGAGUUAUUCGGUAAGGGAUGGGGAUGCGUUCCAUUAGCUAGUUGGCGGGGCAACGGCCCACCAAGGCUACGAUGGAUAGGGGUUCUGAGAGGAAGGUCCCCCACACUGGAACUGAGACACGGUCCAGACUCC